UGCAAGUCGAGCGGUAGAGAGAAGCUUGCUUCUCUUGAGAGCGGCGGACGGGUGAGUAAUGCCUAGGAAUCUGCCUGGUAGUGGGGGAUAACGUCCGGAAACGGACGCUAAUACCGCAUACGUCCUACGGGAGAAAGCAGGGGACCUUCGGGCCUUGCGCUAUCAGAUGAGCCUAGGUCGGAUUAGCUAGUUGGUGGGGUAAUGGCUCACCAAGGCGACGAUCCGUAACUGGUCUGAGAGGAUGAUCAGUCACACUGGAACUGAGACACGGUCCAGACUCCUACGGGAGGCAGCAGUGGGGAAUAUUGGACAAUGGGCGAAAGCCUGAUCCAGCCAUGCCGCGUGUGUGAAGAAGGUCUUCGGAUUGUAAAGCACUUUAAGUUGGGAGGAAGGGCAGUAAAUUAAUACUUUGCUGUUUUGACGUUACCGACAGAAUAAGCACCGGCUAACUCUGUGCCAGCAGCCGCGGUAAUACAGAGGGUGCAAGCGUUAAUCGGAAUUACUGGGCGUAAAGCGCGCGUAGGUGGUUCGUUAAGUUGGAUGUGAAAUCCCCGGGCUCAACCUGGGAACUGCAUUCAAAACUGACGAGCUAGAGUAUGGUAGAGGGUGGUGGAAUUUCCUGUGUAGCGGUGAAAUGCGUAGAUAUAGGAAGGAACACCAGUGGCGAAGGCGACCACCUGGACUGAUACUGACACUGAGGUGCGAAAGCGUGGGGAGCAAACAGGAUUAGAUACCC
rnacentral:rRNA from 1 species